GACGAACGUUGGCGGCGUGCUUAACACAUGCAAGUCGAACGGAAAGGCCCUGCUUUUGUGGGGUGCUCGAGUGGCGAACGGGUGAGUAACACGUGAGUAACCUGCCCUUGACUUUGGGAUAACUUCAGGAAACUGGGGCUAAUACCGGAUAGGAGCUCCUGCUGCAUGGUGGGGGUCGGAAAGUUUCGGCGGUUGGGGAUGGACUCGCGGCUUAUCAGCUUGUUGGUGGGGUAGUGGCUUACCAAGGCUUUGACGGGUAGCCGGCCUGAGAGGGUGACCGGCCACAUUGGGACUGAGAUACGGCCCAGACUCCUACGGGAGGCAGCAGUGGGGAAUAUUGCACAAUGGGCGGAAGCCUGAUGCAGCAACGCCGCGUGCGGGAUGACGGCCUUCGGGUUGUAAACCGCUUUCGCCUGUGACGAAGCGUGAGUGACGGUAAUGGGUAAAGAAGCACCGGCUAACUACGUGCCAGCAGCCGCGGUGAUACGUAGGGUGCGAGCGUUGUCCGGAUUUAUUGGGCGUAAAGGGCUCGUAGGUGGUUGAUCGCGUCGGAAGUGUAAUCUUGGGGCUUAACCCUGAGCGUGCUUUCGAUACGGGUUGACUUGAGGAAGGUAGGGGAGAAUGGAAUUCCUGGUGGAGCGGUGGAAUGCGCAGAUAUCAGGAGGAACACCAGUGGCGAAGGCGGUUCUCUGGGCCUUUCCUGACGCUGAGGAGCGAAAGCGUGGGGAGCGAACAGGCUUAGAUACCCUGGUAGUCCACGCUGUAAACGGUGGGUACUAGGUGUGGGGUCCAUUCCACGGGUUCCGUGCCGUAGCUAACGCUUUAAGUACCCCGCCUGGGGAGUACGGCCGCAAGGCUAAAACUCAAAGGAAUUGACGGGGCCCCGCACAAGCGGCGGAGCAUGCGGAUUAAUUCGAUGCAACGCGUAGAACCUUACCUGGGUUUGACAUGGAUCGGGAGUGCUCAGAGAUGGGUGUGCCUCUUUUGGGGUCGGUUCACAGGUGGUGCAUGCCUGUCGUCAGCUCGUGUCGUGAGAUGUUGGGUUAAGUCCCGCAACGAGCGCAACCCUUGUUCACUGUUGCCAGCACGUUAUGGUGGGGACUCAGUGGAGACCGCCGGGGUCAACUCGGAGGAAGGUGGGGAUGACGUCAAGUCAUCAUGCCCCUUAUGUCCAGGGCUUCACGCAUGCUACAAUGGCUGGUACAGAGAGUGGCGAGCCUGUGAGGGUGAGCGAAUCUCGGAAAGCCGGUCUCAGUUCGGAUUGGGGUCUGCAACUCGACCUCAUGAAGUCGGAGUCGCUAGUAAUCGCAGAACAGCAACGCUGCGGUGAAUACGUUCCCGGG
rnacentral:rRNA from 1 species